rnacentral:rRNA from 1 species
CCUACGGGAGGCAGCAGUAGGGAAUCUUUCACAAUGGGCGAAAGCCUGAUGGAGCAACGCCGCGUGCAGGAUGAAGGCCUUCGGGUUGUAAACUGCUUUUAUGAGCGAGAAGUAGAAUGGUAACUUAUGAUUAAUGCCCGGCUAACCCCGUGCCAGCCGCCGCGGGCAUACGUAGGAUCCGAGCAUUAUCCGGAGUGACUGGGUGUGAAGAGUUGGGUAGGUGGGAUAAUAAGUAGCUAGUGAAAUCUGGUGGCUCAACCAUUCAGACUAUUAGCUAAACUGUUAAGCUCGAGAGCGGUAGGGGUAACGGGAAUUUCUAGUGUAGGAGUGAAAUCCGUAGAUAUUAGAAGGAACACCAAUAGCGUAGGCAGGUUGCUGGGACGGAUCUGACACUAAGGCACGAAAGCGUAGGGAGCAAACGGGAUUAGAUACCCUAGUAGUC